rnacentral:rRNA from 1 species
AACGAACGCUGGCGGCGCGUCUUAAGCAUGCAAGUCGAACGGCAAGAUUGGUGCUUGCACCGAUCCUAGAGUGGCGGACUGGUGAGUAACGCGUGGGUGACGUACCCUAAGGAUGGGGGAUAGCUGGUAGAAAUAUCAGAUAAUACCGAAUAUCCUUAUUGUUGUUAGAGGACAGUAAGGAAAGGAGCUUUGGCUUCGCCUAAGGAUCGGCCCGCGUACUAUUAGCUAGUUGGUGAGGUAACGGCUCACCAAGGCGACGAUAGUUAUCCGGCCUAAGAGGGUGAACGGACACAUUGGGACUGAGAUACGGCCCAGACUCCUACGGGAGGCAGCAGUGGGGAAUAUUGGGCAAUGGGGGAAACCCUGACCCAGCAACGCCGCGUGAAGGAAGAAGGCCUUCGGUUGUAAACUUCUUUUACCAGGGACGAACGACAAUGACGGUACCUGGAGAAAAA